GACCGCUCCGGUGGCCUAAGUGUUAGUGCGUCCGCCUAGGAUGAGUGAGGUUGCGGGUUCAAACCCCGACCGAGUCG